UAUACAUGUGUUAGUUUCUGAAGAUGCUCUCAAAUCAGAACAUAAAAUUCUUCUCUCUUUCAAUUUGAUUGCUGAAAAAAGGCCGUUUCAAUUUACUGAUCUUCUUGAUUGUUGAGAUCCUUCUUCUCCUUAGCUGAUAUAUGUCAUGGUAACAACCCAGUGACAUCCUCUGGCAAAGGAAAGAAUAUAACUAACCACUUCUCUGCAUUUGAAAUUGGUUCAACGUCAACCAUCUUCACUGAACAGCUUGAUGUUCGCUUACCUAGACAAAUAGCUCCGACAAUACAAG